ensembl:snoRNA
AUCCUUUUGUGGUUCAUAAGCAUGGUGAUAGGGUUCACAAUCAUGUGCCACCACAAACCUUGUUAAGAUGUCAGUACAUUACCCAUCUGAUG